CUGCUGUGAUGAUACUCCAACAUGUGGUUUCGACUAGCUGAGAUCUGUGAAGACGACCCUUGGCUGUGUCUGAGCGC